rnacentral:rRNA from 1 species
UAGGGAAUCUUCGGCAAUGGACGAAAGUCUGACCGAGCAACGCCGCGUGAGUGAAGAAGGUUUUCGGAUCGUAAAACUCUGUUGUUAGAGAAGAACAAGGACGUUAGUAACUGAACGUCCCCUGACGGUAUCUAACCAGAAAGCCACGGCUAACUACGUGCCAGCAGCCGCGGUAAUACGUAGGUGGCAAGCGUUGUCCGGAUUUAUUGGGCGUAAAGCGAGCGCAGGCGGUUUCUUAAGUCUGAUGUGAAAGCCCCCGGCUCAACCGGGGAGGGUCAUUGGAAACUGGGAGACUUGAGUGCAGAAGAGGAGAGUGGAAUUCCAUGUGUAGCGGUGAAAUGCGUAGAUAUAUGGAGGAAUACCGGUGGCGAAGGCGGCCCCCUGGACGAAGACUGACGCUCAGGUGCGAAAGCGUGGGGAGCAAACAGG